CGGACGGGUGAGUAACGCGUGGGUAACCUGCCUCAUACAGGGGGAUAACAGUUAGAAAUGACUGCUAAUACCGCAUAAGCGCACAAAACCGCAUGGUUUGGUGUGAAAAACUGAGGUGGUAUGAGAUGGACCCGCGUCUGAUUAGCUAGUUGGAGAGGUAACGGCUCACCAAGGCAACGAUCAGUAGCCGACCUGAGAGGGUGACCGGCCACAUUGGGACUGAGACACGGCCCAAACUCCUACGGAAGGCAGCAG
rnacentral:rRNA from 1 species